rnacentral:lncRNA from 1 species
AUAGCAAGUGAACUUAAACAGAGAAAAUAUGUACAUAGCAGAGAAAUGUGACUUAGCUACUUAAUCUUAUUAGGAUGGUAGUUUUUAGUAACUAAGGAAACUAAAAAUAAAAAUUGAUUCUACAAUUUAUAUUUUAUAACUAAUCCUCAAAAUCCUUUUUAUGGGGUGCUUGGGCCAAAAAUUUGUUUUGUCACCAUUUUUUUUUUUUACCAUCCAUGUAAACAUCAUUGCUUUUGAAACAUUGUUUAAAAAAUAAACUAUAGAUUAUGUAGUUGUUGAAGUAAACAUUAAUAACAUCUAAUUGUAAUUCAAAGAUGAUCAACUGAGGCAUAAUUUACCAUUUAGAGUAUUACAUACUGUUAAAACAUAAUGGGAGAACAACUUGUAUUGAGAAUGAUCCACAAGGAAAGAGAAUGGCAAAACUCUCAAGUUCACCAAGACUCGUCUGCUAGUCUCAUGGUUAGGAUUUCAAUCUCACAAUUACCAUUUCACAUAUUUGAAUCUCCAUGAGCACUAGCAACAACCAUUGAUGCACAAGUUUUCAAAUGCUUGAAGAAGACAUGUGCUUGUUCUUCUAUCCUCCAAAAAUUUCAAAUUCAUGAAUUAGUCAACUAUAGGAAGCUUUCGGAUGAAACCGGGCCCAUAUCCUAAAAUUCAAAACAGAGGCAAUAAAAUAAUAAGAGAGAGCAUAGGGGAGUUGAAUUACCAAGAGACAAAUGUGUAAUUAAGUAUUUGCUUAGAUGCAUUUACUGUUUUAUAUUUUUAAAAGGAGAAAAUAGCUUGUUUAUAUAAAAUACAAAAAAAAUUAAAGACUUACAUUCACAUGAUAAUAGUUUUAAAAAUUGUUUAAAAUUUUGAAGUAUUAAAAAUGUUUUCUUACCUCAAAUUUUAAAAUUUUUUGAUGUAAUUUUAAAAAAAAUAAAAGGUAAGUCUACUUUUUGUACAAGAGUUUCUACUUUUUAUAUAGAAAUAAUUCUUAUUUUUGUUUUUUUCUCUCUUAAAAGUAUAUCUAAACAAGAUCAAAGACUGCAUUAAAACUUCAUCUUGUCAUAAUGAAUAUACCGUCUAAAGUAAGCCACUAAAUAAUAUGAAUCCUUUGCUCUUUACCACCUCAUUGUAGAUUGAAAUUUCAAAUUUGUGCUCGAUUCCAAGGCUUUUGAGAAGGAUUCCUCACUCCCAAGAGUACUUUAGAAGAUGAAUCCCUAUGUUAAUUGCAAAAAAACAUCUAGUGAGUAAUAAUGUGAAUUCAUCCUAUUCUUAAGACAAACUUUGUCACAAGUAUCUAUAGUACGAAUGCUCACAAAUUAUCAAACUUACAAUUAUUCAUGUGAAGGAAAAUCCACCCAAAGUAUCCUGAUUUCUCAAAAACAGAGUCAAUUAGGAAUAUGACCUGGUUGUAGGAGCUUCCUAUAGAGCAGAUAAUAUUCAAAAUAAUUGUCAUUUUUAAAGAUUAAGCUUGAUCCACAGCACAAAAUAUUAAAAUUAUAACUAUUCCAUAUAUGGAAAGAAAACAUCUCAAAAGCAAACUUAGAAGAUAAAAAUAGAUAUAAAAUAAAUUUUUGCAUAGAAUUGAAUAAUUUUUUUCAUAGACUCUAAAAAGUAGAUAAGACAAAAAUAAAUUUCACUUAAAGGACACACUUCUAGAAUUCUAAAAGAGCAUAUAGUAUUUUCAUAUUAGACUUGUUAUUCACCCAAUUGAAUAUGACAAGAAAACAAGCAGAAUAUAGUAAUAGUUACCUACCUCAGCUAGAGCUUAUUACAAGCUUUGACCGUUUCACUUUGGGACAGUGAGGUUGUAGUUCUAACUCAUUGAGCUCCUUUGUUAAGACCACCUGCCCAUACCAAAUUAACGAAAGGGAAAAAAAGAAAUAACUUAAAAUCCUUUUUUUUUUUUUUGGGUUUGCGUGUGUCGUAAGGGUGUAAUUCACCAUAAAACAUCUUGUAAAAACUGAAGAAACCUUAUAUGUAAUACAUGACCCGAACUUGCUAAGAAUAUUGUCACUAUCAUUGUCCUAUCAAUUCAGUUUGUGAUGUACUAGCUCAAUUGCCUGUUAGAAUGAUUCAAGUAAUGAAUAACUUUCCAUUAGUAUUUGGUAAAAUAGAAUAAAUACCAUCAAAAUAUUCAAAUAUGCUCACAGUUCAUCAUAGUGUGAGAGUUGAUUGCAUUUCUUUCAUUCCAUAAGAAUCUCCACUUUUUAGUCCUACUAUGAUGGGGAAAUUAAAUUAGGUUAUACUUACCAAUCAAAAAAAUCAGAAAAACUAGUUUCAAAUUUAAGGGAGAGGUACAAGAAAAUACUGUUGUCAUAAAAUAGAAUAAAAUAUUAAGAAGCAAAAUCAAAGUUUUGAGGAAAAUGCCAAUUCACUUCCUAUAAAUUUGACAAAUCUUGUUUGAAAAUCUGAAAUGUGUUUAACCUUUUCUAUAUUUUUAAAUAUUUUUUUAAAUAACUUUAAUUUGUAAAUACUUAAUUUUCAAUCAU